GCCUUACAAGCAGAAUGUCGGCGGUUCGAUCCCGU
rnacentral:sRNA from 1 species